rnacentral:rRNA from 1 species
AGGCUAAUACGUGGACAUAUGACUCAGUCAACCGGGUAACUGGAAGACUGGGGGUUGUGUGAGGCUUCGCUGCAACACCAACCUACGAGAAGAUGCACAAUCAGACCACCAUACCAAACAAUCCCGCUUUGCGGUCAGUACCUUCGGGGAAAGCCAAAGGGCUCGAUUGGGUGGCUCUUGCUUCGUGCUUCUGACCUAUCAACUAGAUGGCAGCGUAACGGACAUGCUAUGGAUACAACAGGUAC